rnacentral:rRNA from 1 species
AGACCCGAAACCCGGUGAUCUAGCCAUGGGCAGGUUGAAGGUUGGGUAACACUAACUGGAGGACCGAACCGACUAAUGUUGAAAAAUUAGCGGAUGACCUGUGGCUGGGGGUGAAAGGCCAAUCAAACCGGGAGAUAGCUGGUUCUCCCCGAAAGCUAUUUAGGUAGCGCCUCGUGAAUUCAUCUCCGGGGGUAGAGCACUGUUUCGGCUAGGGGGCCAUCCCGGCUUACCAACCCGAUGCAAACUGCGAAUACCGGAGAAUGUUAUCACGGGAGACACACGGCGGGUGCUAACGUCCGUCGUGAAGAGGGAAACAACCCAGACCGCCAGCUAAGGUCCCAAAGUCAUGGUUAAGUGGGAAACGAUGUGGGAAGGCCCAGACAGCCAGGAUGUUGGCUUAGAAGCAGCCAUCAUUUAAAGAAAGCGUAAUAGCUCACUGGUCGAGUCGGCCUGCGCGGAAGAUGUAACGGGGCUAAACCAUGCACCGAAGCUGCGGCAGCGACACUGUGUGUUGUUGGGUAGGGGAGCGUUCUGUAAGCCUGUGAAGGUGUGUCGUGAGGCAUGCUGGAGGUAUCAGAAGUGCGAAUGCUGACAUAAGUAACGAUAAAGCGGGUGAAAAGCCCGCUCGCCGGAAGACCAAGGGUUCCUGUCCAACGUUAAUCGGGGCAGGGUGAGUCGACCCCUAAGGCGAGGCCGAAAGGCGUAGUCGAUGGGAAACGGGUUAAUAUUCCCGUACUUGGUGUUACUGCGAAGGGGGGACGGAGAAGGCUAUGUUGGCCGGGCGACGGUUGUCCCGGUUUAAGCGUGUAGGUGUGUGUUCCAGGUAAAUCCGGU